UGGGGAAUUUUGGACAAUGGGCGAAAGCCUGACGCAGCAACGCCGCGUGAGUGAUGAAGGCCUUCGGGUCGUAAAGCUCUGUCGGAGGGAACGAAUGCUCUUGAGGUUAACAGCCUCGGGAGGUGACGGUACCCUCAAAGGAAGCACCGGCUAACUCUGUGCCAGCAGCCGCGGUAAUACAGAGGGUGCAAGCGUUGUUCGGAAUCAUUGGGCGUAAAGGGCGUGUAGGCGGUAUGUUAAGUCAUGUGUGAAAUCCCUCGGCUCAACCGGGGAACGACGCAUGAAACUGGCAAGCUAGAGUACCAAAGAGGGUGGUGGAAUUCCCGGUGUAGCGGUGGAAUGCGUAGAUAUCGGGAGGAACACCUGUGGCGAAGGCGGCCACCUGGUUGGAUACUGACGCUGAGACGCGAAAGCGUGGGGAG
rnacentral:rRNA from 1 species